AGUUCACCUCAUAAGCUCACCAACCAUCAGAGCAGACAGGUUGGCUUGGCUCAACCAAGAAAUGAAACCUCUCCUCCUGGGCUCUUGAAACCAGCAAGCUGAAGCAGAGAUGGUGAGAUGCCCAGGCCAGCACCGCCGCAGACCCCGACGUCGGAGGCGUUCCAUCCGAAGGACCAGGAGGAGCAGGAGGACGUGCGGCUGUAGAAAGCCAUCAAUGAAAAGGAGGCGGGGGUACGUGCGUGUUAUGACCACCUAUUACUAUAGGAGAUGAUCUGUGACACCUGUCCGUGGGCCUGUCUUGAAACGUGCAUCUCAUCAGCAGUCCAUCAGCCACCUGCUUCUUGAGCCUGAAAACCAACAACGCCCAUCACAUAAGACACCAAAAGAAACGAGCAAGCAAAUGGGUGACUCUGCAAGACCCAGGAGCCCUCCUGCCGCAGGAGACAUGCCGCCAACCUGCCAGUAAAGUUGUAAAAUGCA